rnacentral:lncRNA from 1 species
UGUGGGGGCUAUGGGGCCAUAUGGGGUUAUGGGGCCAUAUGGGGUUAUGGGGCCAUAUGGGGCCAUGUGUAGCUAUGGUGCCAUAUGGGGCCGUGUGGGGCUAUGGGGCUAUGGGGUUAUGGGGCCAUAUGGGGCCAUGUGUAGCUAUGGUGCCAUAUGGGGCCGUGUGGGGCUAUGGUGCCAUAUGGGGCCAUGUGUGGCUAUGGGGCCAUGUGGGGCUAUGGGGCCUUGUAGGGCCUUGUAGGGCCAUAUGGGCCCAUAUGGGUCUGUGGAGGCUAUGGGAAUCUAUGGGGUCAUAUGGGGCCAUACAGGGCCGUGUGUGGCUAUGGGGCUGUGUGUGGCUAUGGGGUUGUGUGGGGCCAUAUGGGGCCAUGUGGGGCUAUGGGGCUAUAUGGGGCUAUGGGGACUUGUAGGGCCAUAUGGCUCUAUAUGGGGCUGUGGGGGCUAUGGGGCUUUGUGGGGCCAUAUGGAGCCAUAUGGGUCCGUGUGUGGCUAUGGGGCCAUAUGUGGCCAUGUGGGGCUAUAGGGCCAUAUGGGACCAUGUGGGGCUAUGGGGCCAUAUGGGGUUAUGGGGCCUUGUAGGGCCUUGUAGGGCCAUAUGGGCCCAUAUGGGUCUGUGGAGGCUAUGGGAAUCUAUGGGGUCAUAUGGGGCCAUACGGGGCCGUGUGUGGCUAUGGGGCUAUAUGGGGCUAUGGGGACUUGUAGGGCCAUGGGGCCAUAUGGCUCCAUAUGGGGCUGUGGGGGCUACGGGGCUGUGUGUGCCUAUGGGGCUGUGUGGGGCCAUAUGGGUCCGUGUGUGGGGCCAUAUGGGUCUAUGGGGCCCUAUGGGGCUGAGUGUGGCUAUGGGGCCCUAUGGGGCCAUAUGGGUCUAUGGGGCCCUAUGGGGCCAUAUGUGUCUAUGGGGCCAUGUUUCCCCCCCAGAGUCGAGCAGUGCAGCGCUGCACGCGGUGACCGCAGAGGGGCAGAGCUCAGAGCCCAGUGGCCCCGCAAAGCUGGAGGCGUCCGGAGAGAGUGACCUCAGCACCUCAGGGCAGCGCGUGGCCACAGGUGUCACCGCCGUCAGCUUUGAGCCCCCGGAUCCGCCCGGUGGUGACUCUUCAUCUUCAUCUUCAUCAUCAUCAUCAUCGUCAGCCAUGGACGGG